UACGAAGGGGGCUAGCGUUGCUCGGAAUCACUGGGCGUAAAGCGCACGUAGGCGGACUCUUAAGUCGGGGGUGAAAUCCUGGAGCUCAACUCCAGAACUGCCUUCGAUACUGGGAGUCUUCGAGUUCGGGAGAGGUGAGUGGAACUGCGAGUGUAGAGGUGAAAUUCGUAGAUAUUCGCAAGAACACCAGUGGCGAAGGCGGCUCACUGGCCCGGUACUGACGCUGAGACGCGAAAGCGUGGGGAGCGAACAGG
rnacentral:rRNA from 1 species